UGGGGAAUAUUGGACAAUGGGCGCAAGCCUGAUCCAGCCAUGCCGCGUGUGUGAAGAAGGCCUUUUGGUUGUAAAGCACUUUAAGCGAGGAGGAGGCUACUUGGAUUAAUACUCUAGGAUAGUGGACGUUACUCGCAGAAUAAGCACCGGCUAACUCUGUGCCAGCAGCCGCGGUAAUACAGAGGGUGCGAGCGUUAAUCGGAUUUACUGGGCGUAAAGCGUGCGUAGGCGGCUUCUUAAGUCGGAUGUGAAAUCCCUGAGCUUAACUUAGGAAUUGCAUUCGAUACUGGGAAGCUAGAGUAUGGGAGAGGGUGGUAGAAUUCCAGGUGUAGCGGUGAAAUGCGUAGAGAUCUGGAGGAAUACCGAUGGCGAAGGCAGCCAUCUGGCCUAAUACUGACGCUGAGGUACGAAAGCAUGGGGAGCAAACAGG
rnacentral:rRNA from 1 species